ensembl:lncRNA
AUUUAUUGUGGCACCGUGUGUGAGGGGGAUAAUUCCUUACUCGCACACACCAAGAACAGACGUGGUUACAUAUUUAAAGACAUAACAUAGACAUAUUUGUUACAUUCCAAAAAAAUGGGCUGGAGUUUUGAGAAAUUACUGACAUGUUGUAUCACCCUCUUAAGCACGCGUCCUAAAGAUGUGGUGGGGGUCUCUGGUAGUCGUUGGAUGAAGGCUGAGUCUUUUUUGCUGUGAACGUUCAUCCUUUUCCGGGGGUUGCAUUGUGUCACAACAGCAACACUGCCUCGAUAUAUUCAUGGGACCCCCCAUGAAGACCCGGUGCAGGACUGCAUCCGCCUGAUGAGCUGUCACUGUUGUUGUCCCUCUCCAACUCUCUCCGCCACAGUGGGGAUUUUGCAAAGCUGAAGGCUUUCCACUUGGUGCCUGUGGGAUUUUGGGCCAUCUGGAACAACAGCCUUGCUGACCUUGUUCCAGAGCCGAAUGGGGCAUUGAGAAAGGCCCGGUCAGCACAGCCACUUGGAGGCACGGUGCUCAGCAUCAGUGGACCUGCUCUGCUGUCUUUCUUGUGCUGGGGGCCCCAGAAGUGGAUGCAGUGCGGCAGGUGGAGUCUUGUGAGAGCAGAGUAGAGGAGCAGAAUCACUUCCCCUGACCUGCUAAUCACGUUUGUCUUAAUGCAGCACAGGAAACGCUUGGCCUUGGGGGCUGCAAGUGCACGGUGCCGGCUCAUGUUGAGCCUUUCAUCAGCCAACACCCGCAGGACACUUUCCUCUUCACAGUCCUCCAGCCACUCAUCCCCAAGCCUAUAGCGCUGCAUGGGCUUGUUGUGGCCAAAGUGCAGGACCCGCCACUUGGCCUUGUUGACCUCUCCAGUUAAUCAGGAGGGCUGGUAGAUGGCCGAGAGCGGCUUGGCAGUCACCUCUGCCAGCUCCCUCAGGAGUCUGUGGAGAGGCUCUUCCUGUCCCCCGUGCUGUGCGCUGUCUUCCUGCACUGCUGGCUCCUGACAUUUUUCACAUGGUGCUGCAUGAGGAUCGUCAUAAGUCUCUCCAUUAAGGUUAUGUAGGCGUCCAUCUGGCAGAGCAGGUCAAGAGCAUUUAGGUUGUCCGUUUCCUCUGUUCCUAAGGAAGCUGGGUCCGCUUGUCCCG